GACGAACCGUGCGAACGUUGUUCGGAUUCACUGGGCUUAAAGGGUGCGUAGGCGGUCUUAUAAGUCAGUGGUGAAAUCUUGUCGCUUAACGACAAACGUGCCAUUGAUACUGUAGGACUUGAGUACAGAUGCCGUUGGCGGAAUGUGUCAUGUAGCGGUGAAAUGCAUAGAUAUGACACAGAACACCGAUUGCGAAGGCAGCUGACGAAACUGUAACUGACGCUGAUGCACGAAAGCGUGGGGAUCAAACAGG
rnacentral:rRNA from 1 species